UCCGGUUUGACACCGGCAGUCCCCUUAGAGUCCCCGGCAUAACCCGCUGGUAACUAAGGGCAAAGGUUUCGCUCGUUAUGGGACUUAACCCGACAUCUCACGACACGAGCUGACGACAGCCAUGCAGCACCUGUGCCUGUUGUACCCCGAAGGGCCUACCCGACUUUCAUCGGGAUAAUCCAGGCAUGUCAAGCCCAGGUAAGGUUCUGCGCGUUGCUUCGAAUUGAACCACAUGCUCCACCGCUUGUGUGAGCCCCCGUCAAUUCCUUUGAGUUUUAGCCUUGCGACCGUACUUCCCAGGCGGUCCACUUAGCACUUUUGCUUCGACCGCAAAGCCGUCAGAGGCACUGCGAUCUAGUGGACAUCGUUUAGGGCCAGGACUAC
rnacentral:misc_RNA from 1 species